rnacentral:rRNA from 1 species
UACGUGGGGUGCAAGCGUUGUUCGGAAUUACUGGGCGUAAAGGGCUCGUAGGCGGCCUAUUAAGUCGGACGUGAAAUCCCUCGGCUCAACCGGGGAACUGCGUCCGAUACUGGCAGGCUUGAAUCCGGGAGAGGGAUGUGGAAUUCCAGGUGUAGCGGUGAAAUGCGUAGAUAUCAGGUGGAACACCAGUGGCGAAGGCGAGUCUCUGGACAUUUACUGACGCUGAGGAACGAAAGCCAGGGGAGCAAACGGG